rnacentral:rRNA from 1 species
AUUGAACGCUGGCGGCAUGCCUUACACAUGCAAGUCGAACGGUAACAGGUCUUCGGAUGCUGACGAGUGGCGAACGGGCGAGUAAUACAUCGGAACGUGCCCGAUCGUGGGGGAUAACGGAGCGAAAGCUUUGCUAAUACCGCAUACGAUCUACGGAUGAAAGCAGGGGACCGCAAGGCCUUGCGCGGACGGAGCGGCCGAUGGCAGAUUAGGUAGUUGGUGGGAUAAAAGCUUACCAAGCCGACGAUCUGUAGCUGGUCUGAGAGGACGACCAGCCACACUGGGACUGAGACACGGCCCAGACUCCUACGGGAGGCAGCAGUGGGGAAUUUUGGACAAUGGGCGAAAGCCUGAUCCAGCCAUGCCGCGUGCAGGAUGAAGGCCUUCGGGUUGUAAACUGCUUUUGUACGGAACGAAAAGACUCUUUCUAAUAAAGAGGGUCCAUGACGGUACCGUAAGAAUAAGCACCGGCUAACUACGUG